AUCCUGGGGCCCUCUGGCCAGAGUUUUUUCUGAACUAGAAGCUGGGGCUUUUUGAAAGGCUGUGAGGUCAGCUUUGUUGCAAAAAGUUUGCUCAGGCUCUUUUCAGUUAAUUGCUGAUUUCAGACCUCAGCUGUACAUUUUGAGCCCAAACUAAGCUCCUACCUGUAAACACGCUUAACAAACCUGAUCAAAACCUUUAUUAAUUUAUCUAUCUAUUUAUUUAUUUAUCUUUUCCCCUGCAGCGGAAGGCUGAGGAGCGGGGCCGAGGGCAAGGGCAGCGCAGCUCAAGGGAAGCAGAACGGGCCCGCCGAGCCGCAGCCGAGCGCAUCAGCCAGACCCUGCGGCUCCCCGCGCCCGCCCAGCAGCCUCAAAGGGGACGCACCCUGCGCCUCGGCGCUGCUGGAAGGCGGGCUGCCUCGCCGCUUGCGACACGCGUCCGACUCAGCUGCUCCCUCGCCGUGCCGGUGAGCCCCGGGACUGCCCUGGGACUGCCCCGGCCCUACCCCGGCGCUACCCGCGCAGCUGCCCGGGAGCGGCGUGGGGCGGUGGCGGGAGCCCCGCCCCGGCCCGGCCCGCCUGCCGCAGGGCAGGGGGCAGGGGGCAGGUUGAGAGCACGGGGAGCAACAGCCGAAGGGACAUCACUGGCUGGCUCUCAGAGCAAGAGACGAAGAAACGUUGGAGAGCUUCGGUGCGAUGCAGGGCUUGGGAACUGUAGCUGCUUAGCACUUCGAGGACUCAACUUCUUUCAAGCUACUUGA
rnacentral:lncRNA from 1 species